CCUGGAAUGCUAGAUCAAUGGUUCUCAACCAGGCAAACGGGUACCCCUGCGGGUACGCAGAGGUCUACCAGGGGUACAUCAACUCAUCUAGAUAUUUGCCUAGUUUUACAACAGGCGACAUAAAAAGCACUAGUGAAGUCAAUACAAACUAAAUUUCAUACAGACACUGACUUGUUCAUACUACUCUAUAGACUAUA